rnacentral:rRNA from 1 species
UUUAAUAUAAAAAUUUAUUGAGGUUAUUUAUAUAAUUAAAAUUAAAAUUUAUUUUUAAUAUUUUGUUGGGGUGACAGAAAAAUAAAAUUAACUUUUUUUUUAAUAUUUACAUAAAUAAGUGAUUAUUUGAUCCAAUUAUUUUGAUUAUAAG